AUUUACGUCUUGCAUGAUGUGAAAUUAUGUUCUUAAAACUUAAUAACGGGGUAAAAAAAAUAAGUGUGUGAGAUUCGACUCGGAUUUGUUUUGUUUUGAAACGGGAAUUAUAGAGACUUAUAGAUUCGUUGUAGUUCUGUAAACUCGGUUCGGGAAAAUUAAUGACUACGGUUCAACCAAAAUUCUGGAAGUGUCUUUCAGAUUUUUAUUUAUUCGUUAUUGGAUCUCGGAAUUCAAAACACUACGAACGAUGGAACUGCUGCUGAAAACAGUGUGGACUCUUGUUGUGUUCUGUGAGAAACUACCCAUAGUUCAUGUUCCAUUUCCUUCUGCAUAUACUGCCCGAUCAGAACAACAAGUUACACGUCAUGCUCAUCGUAAUGCAUUGAGGCAAAACAACGGGCAAGGUAGAUCCAGUGAUCCUGCCACGCUUACCAAAUGGCCUGUACAUGCUGCAACCAGUGAGUGGACAGUAGUCGAUGUUUCGUUGCCCAAAAACAGUGCAUACUUGUUCAGUUGACCACCUUGCGCUCGGAAAGGUACCGAUAGAAUCAGAAAAGAAAAGCUGUUAAUUAAUUUGUUUGUUUUUUUCUCUUGUCAUUCCAAUUUAUGAAAUCCAAAAACACGUCAUCCCGAAGAAAGGCGUUGUCGAUCCGUUAAGCCGGGUGGUUAGUGCUCCGAUGAGGAGGUCGAAAAGAUCGUCACCAUCGUCUUAAAUCUCAGCCAGUACAGGAUCCCCGAUUGGUUCCUGAACAGACAGAAUGGCAUCAUCGAUGGCAAUUGUUCCAAGGUGACUUCUUCGAUGGUCGACUCCAAGCUACGUGAAGAUCUGGAGCGGCGAAAUCAAAUCCGUGCACAGCGUUGUCUUUUUCACUACUGGGACCUGCGAGAGCGCAGGCUACCGGCCGUCACGGUUACACCGUCGGUCAAAGAAGAUGUAAUCAAAGACAAAACGUGGACCAGUAACAGCCGAGGAGUACCGAGAAUCCAGAUGGAUGAUUGAUUAUGAGGUUUGGUGUUUCUGUAUCGUUUAUAUAAUUUAUAAAAUCAUAUUUGGAUAGGCAGAUCUUGUUUUACCAGCUGACAUAUUAGAUGCUUCAAACAAAUUUAAACGCCCUUGUGUAGGCACGAUAUUUUGUGUUCAAAGUAGGAAAGUCAAUGUCAAUUCAUCAUCCACAUUUUCCACAAAUACGUUGUAUACAUAAAGGCGUUUAAAGAUUCAUGAAUAGAAUGUGUAGAAUGGCCUUCCUGGAUCAAUGCCAAAAGGUUCAGUUUUGAUUUCGGUAUGCCGAACAAUUUUUCAUAUUUUAUUCAGUGUUUAGUGCAAAUUUCAGAACAAUUUUUCCCAUAUUUUUUCAAAUAAAUUAAAAAAAUCAAUAUUAGCCAAAUGUAAGGGUAAUGGAAAAGCACGUUUUCUCGAAAUGAGUAUUUGACACUCUUUUAUUUGCUUGUUUAUUCGUGUUAUACAAUUGGUCAAACAUCGUAUUUGUGUAUGUUUACAAUCGUGAUGAAUCCUGCACCAAAUAAUAUGCUGUUCAAACGCAUUUUAUCGCAGAUACAGGAUGAUAAAAAUAAUAUUGAUUACAAGCGUUCAUUGAAAUUACGAAGAUUAGACUAGAUAAAAUAAAGUUUUUUUAUAUAGAGAUGUCAAAAAUAACAAUUUACAAAAUUUUUACAAGCUAAGUUUAGCCUAAUAGGUGAAUUCCUUCAACUUGAUUUUUUUAAAUUUCAUAUGAGGCUCAUUUAAUUGUUCAUAAAACAUAGAACAAAAAAUCAGCUUCAAAGUCUUAUUUGUUUUAGUUUUUGUCAUAUGUUACUUGCUGCUUGGGCUACCUAGUAGCUCAGGCGUAAGGCCGAUGACAUAGUGAGAGCGACGCGAUGCGAAUUAGUGACCACGGCCAAUGCGAACUCUAGCGGCGAAACAAAUUGACAUCUGCUUCUCCGCGUUGAGUGUGUGAGGCUCAAGCGAUUCACAUACAUUUUCAUGAAAUGUGGUUCGCUGUAUUGGAUCGCAUUUGCCGGUACGCAUCGCAUCGCACUCACUAUGUCAUCGGCCUAAGUCAUAUUGAUGUGAUUUUUCUCAUUAUAUAUUUGAAGCCAAGAUGCUUUGCUGUUUCUGAUUUAGCCUUAAUUUAAUUUGUAGUGAUAGUGUUUCUUAAAAAGAUCAUUGUUCGCGAAACUUUCUAGAAGAUGAAUGUACAGGUUGUUAAAUUCAUGGAACGUUAUUAUUUAUUUUAUUUUAUUUGAGACCUACUCAAUUCUUACAAUAAACUUUCGUGACCUUUAUCUAGAUACGCCAUUAACAUAAUUUCAAACUUAUUUUUGUCAAUAAAG